GGAUAAGGCAUCUGCUGGAUAUAAACACCAGUCUUCUCUUUGGUUCCAGUAACUGCUCUGAUGAUGCUGUGUUCAACUACAUCCUGAAGGGCUAUGUGGCGUAUAGAGGAUCUUCCCCAUCAGAAGAGGUUUCAGUGCCCUCCAGAUCAUCCGAGAGAUGGGACUGGCUUCCAUGUUCCUCAUCAAGUUGUUACAACAGCGAAAGCUCCAGUUUCUGGCCAUUGUAAAUGAAAAGAGCCCAAAAGAGCGACUCCUUUUGUGUUUCCUCGAAGGAAGUUAUACGGGUUUGGAACAACAUGACAUGAGCCUGGGAGCUGAAACAACUUUCUCUUCCUCCCACUGUGGACCACUACAGCUGGGGAACGAGACACUACCGAACUCAUCGACACAUGCAGGCCCGAUGUGACACCUUGACUCCUGCGUCACAGGCCCUGCAGUUGUCCUCGCCAUUAAAUGUCACUUUCACUCUCAGAGCCUUACUGGCCAGUGAUCCCAGGCUCUCCAGAAGAUUGUCUGUGGCUUUGGAAACUUGCUGGACAUCAGCGGGAUUAGUCCUUAUGUCAGACUGGUAUAAGGCAGAGAUAAAAAUAUUAUUGUACCAGCGAAAUCCAACUAACAUGACACAUUAAUCUGGUUUUCCACAAUCCCAAAAUCAUCUUUCAUUGACCAGCGUGAUCUAUGAGUCAACCCGACAACUUGACAUUUUUUUGAAGUAGGAAGAAGCAGAACAGAGAAACUGAAGCUGUCAUUACGUGUUGUAACUUCCAGCAGUGGCUUCAGGCCCUAUAUUAAGCUGAGUGUUGAGUUGUUUGUCUUGGCACAAUGCACGCCAAUGAUAAAGUCGCCUGGAUUUGUUUUAACACCACUAUCAACAGCAGUAGAGGAGGAGAGGACACUAUUGCACCGGUUUGGAAGAUAAGACGGUGACCUCUGUCACCCUAAGACACACGACGGAGAGGUUUGAGAAAAUCCAGGUUGGACUUGAAGUGUCUCUCGGCCUGGUCUAGCCAGCUUUUUGGAGACCUGCAGAUGAUGUCCUGGGUGAAUUUCGCCACCUCUUUGUCUGGGAUGGUCACAAAGUCCUCAAGUGUGGUGGAGCUGCACAUAUCUCUCAGAUGGACGCCAAAACCUUUGAUCAGAACCUAAAACAUGAAGAGCAUCGGUGAUAACCGGAAGUGCACAAACCAUUCAAGUGUUAUCAGGACAGCUAGCUGAAAUCAAAAGAGGAGAAUGAAGACAGAAUUGAAUGAGAUCGCAGCAUGCGGAUGCCACGAUAAGCCUCACAGUGACUGGAUGAGAUUGGUCACUGUAUGCAAUCACUUUAUGGAAAAGAACAGCUCAGGCAUUUGAAGUUUGGAAUGAUAAGAGGAUGACAUUUUCAGGUCACAUUAGAGCUGACGACCCUGUUAUUUGGAAAUCUUCAGCUGUAGGCAGCAACUUACAUGGAAUCAUUGAAGUUCCCAACGAUUCCCGGAGAUUCCCCAGGGGUUGGGUGUCGAAAGCACGGAUUGUUGGCAUUGCAUACAAUGCCCUGGAUCCAUGGCAGGGUGCCUGCUGAGGGCAUUGCUUUGUUGGGAAAGUGACCUGUAAAAAAUAAAGGGAGACUAAAUGAACUACCUUAUUGAAGAAGAUUGAAAAGAGUUUCCACAUUAAGGCCUUCUAGAUAAUGCAUCAUUUGACUUCAAAAGCUCAUCUACUUCAUGUACAACGGCUGAUCAUGACAACGGGGAGCUUUUUAGCUAUAGAGGGAAUGCGCGUGACGUCACCGUCACCGAGUUACUCACAGCUAAAAAGUCCACACGUGUGGAGUGUACUUACAUUCAUGUUGUUCGUAAGGCGGGUAAUUCAACCUCACGGAGAUCAGGAUGAAGAAAAUAAAGAGAGGCCACACAAUCUCCGUCAGAAGCUGGAGCUGCACAAGUCAAACACACGAGGACAAAAACAGUCAGCGUUUUCUGAAGUGCAGACAUUAGAGACCAAACAUGACUUAUAAAAAGCUCUCAGACUCCUAUGUCUAAAGUAAGGGCUUCUGGUGAAGUUCUUCCAGAGCAGCAGACCCAGCUGAGUGCAGACAGACAUCUUCACUCGGGUCCCUCUUCACUCUCAGCGCUCAGCUCUCGACUGUAACGACACGACGGAGGAGCGCAGAGUGAAAAACACAUCCAGCAGAGCAGCUCAAAAGUCCAGGACAAAGUGCAGCCCUCCUAUCUGACUCUCUGCUUCUCGCUCACGUCUUCCCUUUUCAUCCCGUUAGGGAAGGCUAGCAUUUUCUUUUUCCCAGAAUUCCUUGAAGUGGUGGACCUUGUCGUAUCAUCAAGCAAGGAAUUUCACAGGCCAUUAGGGUCUCUGGGGUAGGUAGCUUUAUUCAUAAUGGCCACGAUUGAUCAAGGAGCUUCAUUUAAAAUGCACAGAUUUGCUGGAAGUCGAGGAGAGAGUCGGUGGCCUUGCGAAAAGGGUCCAGACAUUUUUGAGUGAUCUUCUAAUGCUCACAUUGUUUUCACUCUCUGUAUCCUUUCAGUGAUUUAAUCAGCUAUCCCCAAACAGAAAUGAUCAGGUUUGAGUCAGAUGGGAUAGGAGGGAAACAAACUUAACCGUGUAAAGCCUGAACUAUGAAAUUAUAUUAUAUUCAGGGUGGGGAAAGCAUGCGUGUUUUUGUUUAGUAUCGUAUUUGAUACAUCAGGCUGAUCGGCUCAUAUAGUAAGUGAGAAUAUGGAGCUCAGACUCAAGGAGGAAAAACACCUCAGUUUUAUUCCGAAAUAUGCAAUUUGAUGCAGUUACUGAUUUAAUCAAGUCAAAAAGUAAGAUGUAAUUCUGAUAACUUGUAAUGUAAACCAAUGCAUAUAUAUUUAAGUUGUCACUCUAUCUAUGUCUCCUAAUAAUAUAUAUCUUAGAAAGGUGAUAUUGUAUGUUUAAAGCUCUGUAGUUUUUAUUGGGGGGUGCAUAUUGUAAUAAAAGCCUCAAAAGCCUGAUGUAUCAUAUUUGAUACAUUUUAACAUGACAUAUGGAUAAUCAAGUAAAUCUAAGUUGCUUCAGCCUAGGAAGUGUUCAUCUUGAAAUAUUACAAUAUAAGUUUAAGAUUUCACAGCAAAAAGACAUGUAGCAUGACCUGAAGGAGGACAUUUUUUGAAUUGCACUAAAAGGCCUUUCGCUUGCUAAGUACAGUAGGCUUUAUAGGGUUAAUCGUCACCCUGAGGAAAUAAAAUAUAUCUGAAAUAUCUCA